rnacentral:rRNA from 1 species
UACGUAGGGUGCAAGCGUUAAUCGGAAUUACUGGGCGUAAAGCGUGCGCAGGCGGUUGUGUAAGACAGAUGUGAAAUCCCCGGGCUCAACCUGGGAACUGCAUUUGUGACUGCACAGCUGGAGUGCGGCAGAGGGGGAUGGAAUUCCGCGUGUAGCAGCGAAAUGCGUAGAUAUGCGGAGGAACACCGAUGGCGAAGGCAAUCCCCUGGGCCUGCACUGACGCUCAUGCACGAAAGCGUGGGGAGCAAACAGG